ACAAUGGGCGCAAGCCUGAUCCAGCAAUGCCGCGUGAGUGAAGAAGGCCUUAGGGUUGUAAAGCUCUUUCGCCUGCGGCGAUGAUGACGGUAGCAGGAGAAGAAGCCCCGGCUAACUCCGUGCCAGCAGCCGCGGUAAUACGGAGGGGGCUAGCGUUGUUCGGAAUUACUGGGCGUAAAGCGCGCGUAGGCGGACCUGCAAGUCGGGGGUGAAAGCCCGAGGCUUAACCCCGGAACUGCCUUCGAUACUGCGGGUCUCGAGUCCGGGAGAGGUGAGUGGAAUUCCUAGUGUAGAGGUGAAAUUCGUAGAUAUUAGGAAGAACACCAGUGGCGAAGGCGGCUCACUGGCCCGGUACUGACGCUGAGGCGCGAAAGCGUGGGGAGCAAACAGGAUUAGAUACCCUGGUAGUCCACGCCGUAAACUAUGGGUGCUAGCCGUCGGUCGGCAUGCCGGUCGGUGGCGCAGCCAACGCAUUAAGCACCCCGCCUGGGGAGUACGGUCGCAAGAUUA
rnacentral:rRNA from 1 species